UACGUAGGGGGCAAGCGUUAUCCGGAUUUACUGGGUGUAAAGGGAGCGUAGACGGCGAUGCAAGCCAGAUGUGAAAGCCCGGGGCUCAACCCCGGGACUGCAUUUGGAACUGUAUAGCUAGAGUGUCGGAGAGGCAGGCGGAAUUCCUAGUGUAGCGGUGAAAUGCGUAGAUAUUAGGAGGAACACCAGUGGCGAGGGCGGCCUGCUGGACGAUGACUGACGUUGAGGCUCGAAAGCGUGGGGAGCAAACAGG
rnacentral:rRNA from 1 species